rnacentral:rRNA from 1 species
GGAACGAGUUAUCUGAACCUUCGGGGAACGAUAACGGCGUCCAGCGGCGGACGGGUGAGUAAUGCCUGGGAAAUUGCCCUGAUGUGGGGGAUAACCAUUGGAAACGAUGGCUAAUACCGCAUAAUAGCUUCGGCUCAAAGAGGGGGACCUUCGGGCCUCUCGCGUCAGGAUAUGCCCAGGUGGGAUUAGCUAGUUGGUGAGGUAAGGGCUCACCAAGGCGACGAUCCCUAGCUGGUCUGAGAGGAUGAUCAGCCACACUGGAACUGAGACACGGUCCAGACUCCUACGGGAGGCAGCAGUGGGGAAUAUUGCACAAUGGGCGCAAGCCUGAUGCAGCCAUGCCGCGUGUAUGAAGAAGGCCUUCGGGUUGUAAAGUACUUUCAGCAGUGAGGAAGGUGGUGUGCUUAAUACGUGCAUCAUUUGACGUUAGCUGCAGAAGAAGCACCGGCUAACUCCGUGCCAGCAGCCGCGGUAAUACGGAGGGUGCGAGCGUUAAUCGGAAUUACUGGGCGUAAAGCGCAUGCAGGUGGUUUGUUAAGUCAGAUGUGAAAGCCCGGGGCUCAACCUCGGAAUUGCAUUUGAAACUGGCAGACUAGAGUACUGUAGAGGGGGGUAGAAUUUCAGGUGUAGCGGUGAAAUGCGUAGAGAUCUGAAGGAAUACCGGUGGCGAAGGCGGCCCCCUGGACAGAUACUGACACUCAGAUGCGAAAGCGUGGGGAGCAAACAGGAUUAGAUACCCUGGUAGUCCACGCCGUAAACGAUGUCUACUUGGAGGUUGUGGCCUUGAGCCGUGGCUUUCGGAGCUAACGCGUUAAGUAGACCGCCUGGGGAGUACGGUCGCAAGAUUAAAACUCAAAUGAAUUGACGGGGGCCCGCACAAGCGGUGGAGCAUGUGGUUUAAUUCGAUGCAACGCGAAGAACCUUACCUACUCUUGACAUCCAUAGAACUUUCCAGAGAUGGAUUGGUGCCUUCGGGAACUAUGAGACAGGUGCUGCAUGGCUGUCGUCAGCUCGUGUUGUGAAAUGUUGGGUUAAGUCCCGCAACGAGCGCAACCCUUAUCCUUGUUUGCAGCACUUCGGGUGGGAACUCCAGGGAGACUGCCGGUG